CGGAGUAGAAGAAGAAGAGCCGGCCUCAGCUUGUCAGCCGAGAAGAGCAGAGAAGACACUGGACCCCAAGAAUACAGUGUUCCUGCCGAUGUUGGAGCCCAACAGGCCCGGGCCAACAUUGUACAAGGGCCACAAGGACCAGGGACACAAGGACAAGGGACACACCAGGACCAGCCCGACUGAGCGAUGUUGCAGAGAUGAACGUCGAUCGCUCUCUGAAGGAGGUGUAAAGGAGGAUGCAAACAUUGCCCUCUGCAGUUUGAGAUGAUGGCUGUCGAGAAGACCCAACGACUCAACCAAGAUCUACAAUCGUACUACGGUAGACGGGACUCUCAAAGAUUUGGAUGA